rnacentral:rRNA from 1 species
UACGUAGGGUGCAAGCGUUGUCCGGAAUUAUUGGGCGUAAAGAGCGUGUAGGCGGCCAUGUAGGUCCGGUGUGAAAACUCGAGGCUUAACCUCGAGAUGUCAUCGGAAACCGAUUUGGCUAGAGUCCGGAAGAGGAGAGUGGAAUUCCUGGUGUAGCGGUGAAAUGCGUAGAUAUCUGGAGGAACACCGAUGGCGAAGGCGGGUCUCUGGGCCGAUACUGA